UACAGAGGUCCCAAGCGUUGUUCGGAUUCACUGGGCGUAAAGGGUGCGUAGGCGGGUCUUUAAGUCAGGGGUGAAAUCCUGGAGCUCAACUCCAGAACUGCCUUUGAUACUGAGGAUCUUGAGUUCGGGAGAGGUGAGUGGAACUGCGAGUGUAGAGGUGAAAUUCGUAGAUAUUCGCAAGAACACCAGUGGCGAAGGCGGCUCUCUAGUACGGUACUGACGCUGAGACGCGAAAGCGUGGGGAGCGAACAGG
rnacentral:rRNA from 1 species